rnacentral:rRNA from 1 species
UAGCGGAGGAAAAGAAACUAACAAGGAUUCCCCUAGUAGCGGCGAGCGAAGCGGGAAGAGCUCAAAUUUAUAAUCUGGCACCUUCGGUGUCCGAGUUGUAAUCUCUAGAAAUGUUUUCCGCGUUGGACCGCACACAAGUCUGUUGGAAUACAGCGGCAUAGUGGUGAGACCCCCGUAUAUGGUGCGGACGCCCAGCGCUUUGUGAUACAUUUUCGAAGAGUCGAGUUGUUUGGGAAUGCAGCUCAAAUUGGGUGGUAAAUUCCAUCUAAAGCUAAAUAUUGGCGAGAGACCGAUAGCGAACAAGUACCGUGAGGGAAAGAUGAAAAGCACUUUGGAAAGAGAGUUAACAGUACGUGAAAUUGUUGGAAGGGAAACGCUUGAAGUCAGACUUGCUUGCCGAGCAAUCGGUUUGCAGGCCAGCAUCAGUUUUCCGGGAUGGAUAAUGGUAGAGAGAAGGUAGCAGUUUCGGCUGUGUUAUAGCUCUCUGCUGGAUACAUCUUGGGGGACUGAGGAACGCAGUGUGCCUUUGGCGGGGGUUUCGACCUCU